rnacentral:rRNA from 1 species
UACGUAGGGAGCAAGCGUUGUCCGGAUUUAUUGGGCGUAAAGAGCUCGUAGGCGGUUUGGAAAGUCAGGUGUGAAACCUCCAGGCUCAACCUGGAGACGCCACUUGAUACUUCUAUGACUUGAGUUCGGUAGGGGUAAGCGGAAUUCCUGGUGUAGCGGUGAAAUGCGCAGAUAUCGGGAGGAACACCUAUUGCGAAGGCAGCUCGCUGGGACGUUACUGACGCUGAGACGCGAAAGCGUGGGGAGCAAACAGG